GACGAACGCUGGCGGCGUGCUUAACACAUGCAAGUCGGACGGAAAGGCCCUGCUUUUGUGGGGUGCUCGAGUGGCGAACGGGUGAGUAACACGUGAGUAACCUGCCCUUGACUUUGGGAUAACUUCAGGAAAAUGGGGAUAAUACCGGAUAGGAGCUCCUGCUGCAUGGUGGGGGUUGGAAAGUUUCGGCGGUUGGGGAUGGACUCGCGGCUUAUCAGCUUGUUGGUGGGGUAGUGGCUUACCAAGGCUUUGACGGGUAGCCGGCCUGAGAGGGUGACCGGCCACAUUGGGACUGAGAUACGGCCCAGACUCCUACGGGAGGCAGCAGUGGGGAAUAUUGCACAAUGGGCGGAAGCCUGAUGCAGCAACGCCGCGUGCGGGAUGACGGCCUUCGGGUUGUAAACCGCUUUCGCCUGUGACGAAGCGUGAGUGACGGUAAUGGGUAAAGAAGCACCGGCUAACUACGUG
rnacentral:rRNA from 1 species